rnacentral:rRNA from 1 species
GACGAACGCUGGCGGCGUGCUUAACACAUGCAAGUCGAACGGGCCCGCUCUCUUUUUUGGGGGUGGGUUGAGUGGCGAACGGGUGAGUAUCACGUGAGUAACCUGCCCCCUGCUCCUGGAUAACUGCUUGAAAGGGCGGCUAAUACGGGGUGUGCCGGCUGGUCCGCAUGGGCCUGGUCGGGAUAGUUUCAUCUUCGGGUGUUUCGGUGGGGGAUGGGCUCGCGGCCUAUCAGCUUGUUGGGGGGGUGAUGGCCCACCAAGGCGGUGACGGGGAGCCGGCCUGGGAGGGUGGGCGGCCCCCCUGGGACUGAGACACGGCCCCGACUCCUGCGGGAGGCAGCAGUGGGGGGUAUUGCACAAUGGGCGGAAGCCUGAUGCAGCGACGUCGCGUGAGGGAUGGAGGCCUUCGGGUUGUGAACCUCUUUCUCCGGUGGUGAAGGCCCUGUCCGUUGCGGCGGGGUUGACGGUAGCCGGGUAUGAAGCGCCGGCUAACUACGUG